rnacentral:rRNA from 1 species
AUUGAACGCUGGCGGCAGGCCUAACACAUGCAAGUCGAGCGGAUGAAGGGAGCUUGCUCCUGGAUUCAGCGGCGGACGGGUGAGUAAUGCCUAGGAAUCUGCCUGGUAGUGGGGAUAACGUCCGGAAACGGGCGCUAAUACCGCAUACGUCCUGAGGGAGAAAGUGGGGGAUCUUCGGACCUCACGCUAUCAGAUGAGCCUAGGUCGGAUUAGCUAGUUGGUGGGGUAAAGGCCUACCAAGGCGACGAUCCGUAACUGGUCUGAGAGGAUGAUCAGUCACACUGGAACCGAGACACGGUCCAGACUCCUACGGGAGGCAGCAGUGGGGAAUAUUGGACAAUGGGCGAAAGCCUGAUCCAGCCAUGCCGCGUGUGUGAAGAAGGUCUUCGGAUUGUAAAGCACUUUAAGUUGGGAGGAAGGGCAGUAAGUUAAUACCUUGCUGUUUUGACGUUACCAACAGAAUAAGCACCGGCUAACUUCGUG